rnacentral:tRNA from 1 species
UCCCUGGUGGUCCAGUGGUUAAGACUCUGAGCUCUCAAUGCAGGAGGCCUGGGGUUCAAUCCCUGGUCAGGGAA